AUGAACGCUGGCGGCGUGCCUAAUACAUGCAAGUCGCGCGAACAGACGAGGAGCUUGCUCCUCUGACGUUAGCGGCGGACGGGUGAGUAACACGUGGAUAACCUACCUAUAAGACUGGGAUAACUUCGGGAAACCGGAGCUAAUACCGGAUAAUAUAUUGAACCGCAUGGUUCAAUAGUGAAAGAUGGUUUUGCUGUCACUUAUAGAUGGAUCCGCGCCGCAUUAGCUAGUUGGUAAGGUAACGGCUUACCAAGGCGACGAUGCGUAGCCGACCUGAGAGGGUGAUCGGCCACACUGGAACUGAGACACGGUCCAGACUCCUACGGGAGGCAGCAGUAGGGAAUCUUCCGCAAUGGGCGAAAGCCUGACGGAGCAACGCCGCGUGAGUGAUGAAGGUCUUCGGAUCGUAAAACUCUGUUAUUAGGGAAGAACAAAUGUGUAAGUAACUAUGCACGUCUUGACGGUACCUAAUCAGAAAGCCACGGCUAACUACGUG
rnacentral:rRNA from 1 species